AAAAAGAUAAGCUAAUUAAGCUAUUAGGUUCAUACCCUACUUAUAGGGGCUUCAACCCUCUUCUUUUUA
rnacentral:tRNA from 1 species